rnacentral:lncRNA from 1 species
CAUUCUUCUACCACCUGUAAAUUAUGGGUUCAUGGGCCCCAUAAAUAUGAUCUAUGCUAAAUAAUAAUGUUGCAGGGAUACUCUAUGUCCCAGUGAGGCAGUAGCUCAGCUUUAUUCUCAUCUGUAAGCAGCUGGAUGAUUUGGCUCUUUUACUAGUAUAUGAGUUCAACUGUUGGCCAAACAAGGUCUGACCUCUCACUGUCUCUCUUCCCUCCAUCUCAGCUGAUGAAGUGGGUGCUUCCUCCUCACCUUUUUCCACAGAACCAAUGAGGGCAGCUCUGUUUCUACCCUUGUGACAAGCUCAUCUAGCACUGAUUUAGCUUGUAUUGGCAACAACGUGGUUUUUGCUGGGAGAGUUUGUAGGGACUUCCCUAAAUAAAAUAAGCUGAGUGGGAAUUUAAGAUUUUGCUAGUCUAACUGGUGCAUGCAGACCAGUAGGCUGAAAUUAUAUACCAGUAUUUAUUUAUUUAUUUAUUUAAUGCAUAGUUGUGAGAGAUGUGAACCUUGCAUUGCUAAGCAGGAAAGUACUGAAAGAGAAGGCUAUGGCCCAGCAGUUGCAAUGGCCAUUGUCUGUGUUCAAAGCCUCCUGCUCUCACUGGAGUCAAGAAGGGAGACAGAGAAGGGGGAGAAACUCUCUGAAACCUGUUAAAGGCACCAUAAUAUUACCUACCAGGGCAGCUUAGCAGAGCUGAAAUCUCUGUGAAGAAGAGGGUUUCUCCUAAGGAGAAGAGAAAAUGGAAUCAAAAGUCAGAGUGAAGGAAAGCUUUGAAAGUGAAGUAAAAAAUAUGAGGAGACAUGAAGAACAUGCUGUACCAUUGUAGACAGAUUGGAAGCAAUGAUUUUUGGCUAUAAUGCUUUGGUUGGACUGAAUAGAAGACUACAGAAUAAGGAUUUGAAAUACCAGGUUACAGUAUGUGUGAGAAGUCGUGAAUAACCGUGCAGGUGACAACAGAGAGGAAGCUGACAUGGUACAAUGAAAAGAUCAAUUAUGAAAAGGUGAAGAGAGAAGAAUUGAAAAUAACACAAAAUCAAGCAUUGUAGUGAUAAAAGAAAAUAACGGAGUAAGCUGUUAGAUAAAAGAAGGGAAAAGAGAGCAUUAUUUAAGCUGUCUUUCCAUGUCAAGAUAGCAUGAUGAUUAAAACCUAUCAAAAACCUGGCUCAAUGAUGUUGCAUUGCAG